ACACGACUACAUUAAGAUACCCGGGUAGUCCCAGCCCUAAACGAUGCGCGUUAGGUGUAUCGGUGACCACGAGUCACCGAGGUGCCGAAGGGAAACCGUGAAACGUGCCGCCUGGGAAGUACGGUCGCAAGGCUAGAAACUUAAAGGAAUUGGCGGGGGAGCACCACAACGGGUGGAGCUUGCGGUUUAAUUGGAUUCAACGCCGGAAAUCUUACCGGGACCGACAGCAACAUGAAGGCCAGGCUGAAGACUUUGCCGGAUUAGCUG
rnacentral:rRNA from 1 species